UCUCAGUGAUGAGAGCUUUGUCCAGUUCUGCUGCUGACUUUAAGUGAGGAUGAAGUGUAUCUGAGGAGA